GAGUUUGAUCCUGGCUCAGGAUGAACGCUGGCGGCGUGCCUAACACAUGCAAGUCGAGCGAAGCGCUUAAGUCAGAAUCUUCGGAGGAAGACUUUUGUGACUGAGCGGCGGACGGGUGAGUAACGCGUGGGUAACCUGCCUUACACAGGGGGAUAACAGUUAGAAAUGACUGCUAAUACCGCAUAAGAUCACAGUACUGCAUGGUACAGUGGUAAAAACUGAGGUGGUGUAAGAUGGACCCGCGUCUGAUUAGGUAGUUGGUGGGGUAACGGCCCACCAAGCCGACGAUCAGUAGCCGGCCUGAGAGGGUGGACGGCCACAUUGGGACUGAGACACGGCCCAGACUCCUACGGGAGGCAGCAGUGGGGAAUAUUGCACAAUGGGGGAAAACCCUGAUGCAGCGACGCCGCGUGAGCGAUGAAGUAUUUCGGUAUGUAAAGCUCUAUCAGCAGGGAAGAAAAUGACGGUACCUGACUAAGAAGCCCCGGCUAACUACGUG
rnacentral:rRNA from 1 species